rnacentral:rRNA from 1 species
AUUGAACGCUGGCGGCAGGCUUAACACAUGCAAGUCGAGCGGAGAUGAGGUGCUUGCACCUUAUCUUAGCGGCGGACGGGUGAGUAAUGCUUAGGAAUCUGCCUAUUAGUGGGGGACCACAUUCCGAAAGGAAUGCUAAUACCGCAUACGUCCUACGGGAGAAAGCAGGGGAUCUUCGGACCUUGCGCUAAUAGAUGAGCCUAAGUCGGAUUAGCCAGUUGGUGGGGUAAAGGCCUACGAAGGCGACGAUCUGUAGCGGGUCUGAGAGGAUGAUCCGCCACACUGGGACUGAGACACGGCCCAGACUCCUACGGGAGGCAGCAGUGGGGAAUAUUGGACAAUGGGGGGAACCCCGAUCCAGCCAUGCCGCGUGUGUGAAGAAGGCCUUAUGGUUGUAAAGCACUUUAAGCGAGGAGGAGGCUACUGAGACUAAUACUCUUGGAUAGUGGACGUUACUCGCAGAAUAAGCACCGGCCAACUCUGUGCCAGCCGCCGCGGUAACAC